GAUGACCUCCAGAGGUCCCUUCUAACCUCUAUGAUUCUGUGAUAAGUAUGUAAUGCAUUUCAAAUAUUUUACCUCCUCAUAUUUCUUGGCAGACCCAGUCAACAGAUUAAAUUGAAGCUCUGAGCAGUUACUUAUCAACUGCUUUUAAUGGUAAUCUAAAUUUAAAUACCAUCUGAAGGAGAUUUGUGCUUGGAUGAAGGCUGACUAAGGCAGCUAACUGGGUGCUAGUAGUAUUUAAGCUAGAAGGCAGUGAGGGUUUGGGUUCUCCUGACUGGAGCAAAUAUCAGGGAGGUGCAGCAUAUGAGUAUCUUGUGCAGUACUCAGUGGGUCUUCUUCAAUCCUCAUGGCAGCACGUGCACUUUUUCUUCCACUUAGUUUUUCUUGUAAAAGCUUUGUGUUGCAGAUGGCAACAGUUGCCACGGUGUUCCAGGCCAAGAGGUUAGACUGCUGCCAGGUGUGGAGCCAGAGCCCGCAGCUGAGGAGCCACUGGGAGAACCCAGCUGGGACAACCAUGAUAACCUUCACACACCAGGAUCUUCUGAGUGUUGUCCUGCUGUUAUGGUUGCUGCAUCACUGACUUGGCUGAUGGAGUUGAGAACUGACUUAGAAAUGCAAAGGAGCCCCAAUAAGCUGUGAACGGAAGGAUCUUUAACGAGCACCUUGGAGGAUAAAAUCUGAAUUUGAAUUGAUCUUAAGGUGAAGAAUUAGGAUCAUAUAACCAAUGUGGGUGGUCAAGCAAAAAAACUCGUCUGAAACCAGUGGUGUCAAAACUGAAACUAUGAGUGAAAAAUUAAUCUGUGCUGUGUUUUAAAGCUGACGUGGCCUGUGCCUGAAGUUCUGAGGUCCAUAUCCCAUAGUGCUGAGGAAGGGUUCCUAUGGCUCCUCGCAUAGCCUGUGCAGUCUGCAGACAGUGGAUUGAUUUGAGCUUGCCUUCCUUGGGCUGGCUAACAAGGCCGUUCAGCUUUGAGUCCAUGGGAUCUGCCUGGGUAAGGCAUUGUCUUGAGGAAGAGCUGCUGCCAGUUUUUUGUUUUCCCUGCCACAAGCUAACUAGAAGCCAGAUUUUCAAGACAAGGUGUCCCUGAGCCUUCUGAGGAGGGCCUGCUGCCCCAGAGCCGCUCUGCUAGCACAGCACAGCACAGCAUUGCUGCAGCACCCAGCUUCGCUCCCUGGAGACACCGCUGCACACCAGGUAGGCGAUGAGCUGCUCACGGAGCUCCCUGCGGUGCUGUGUGGCUUAAGGCUGGCUCUGUGUGGAAAGAAAUGAUGAUGGUCAUUUAUGUAUGGAGCGUGAUGAGCUUUUGGGCAGAAGGCAAAGCAGAAGUGAUUGUUGGGUUAUUUGAUGAAGUGGUGUUUGAUAAUUACUGCAGUAAAGGCCCUUAUGGUUGGCUGGGACUGAGUGUGCUGCCUGAGUGCUGGGCUCUGCUCCUGGCAGGGGUCAGGCUCCAGGCGAGUCUGGAAAGGAGCUGCAUCAUACCACAGACCUAGCAGGAGACCACUGCAGGGUUUAAAUCCUGAUAUAAUCAGUGGAAAUGACAGAUAGUAGUCUGAAGAAAGAAAAAAAAUCUAUUAGGAAUAUGGAUUGAUGCAGCCCUGGGAUCCCAUCCACACUGCAGGCGGGUGCUGCGGGGAGGUGGGUGGUUGGGUGCUUCCAGCGCCCAAUGAGCACCAUGAAGUGACUCUCAAACAGGCGCGUCCCGAUAAUCGGGUCCGUAGAACUCAUCACAUGUCCAGCUUUAAAAGUAGAAAGAAAAUGUUCUGCGGGUCAUUAAAUCCACUGUGUGUGCCAUCGCGAUGAUGAAAUGGAGCUGUGGCUGAACAGGAUGGUGCCUUCAAAUGGAACUUCAGAGGAUAAAUAAAGCCAAAGAUGGUAGCGAAGGCGCCUUAGAUUUAUUAAAAUACAGCCUCCCCUCAUUACUUAGUGCAGCAAUCAGUCUGUGCUGGAGCAGUAACUCAUUGCAAUGACUUUGCUGCUAUGACUUGUGACCAUUUCUGCUUCUUAACUGGGAUGUUUGCCUAAGAAACAGCUGAUCCGCAGAAGCAUUUUCUUUUUACGACGCUAUUCUAAAUCAAUAGAGUUAGUUGCUGGUUGUUGGGGGGUUUUUUUUGGUUUGGUUUUUUUUUUGUUUGUUUGCUUUGUUUUGUUUUUUGUUUUUCCUUAAUGCAUUUUAACCAGUAAUGAACAUAGGGAUUUAGGAGGCCUAACAGGCACGGAGCCACCAGCCCGGAGGAGCACAGGCUGCCGGCACG